rnacentral:rRNA from 1 species
GUGAGGAAUUUUCCGCAAUGGGCGAAAGCCUGACGGAGCAAUGCCGCGUGAAGGAUGACGGCCUAUGGGUUGUAAACUUCUUUUCUCAGAAAAGAAUUAUGACGGUAUCUGAGGAAUAAGCAUCGGCUAACUCUGUGCCAGCAGCCGCGGUAAGACAGAGGAUGCAAGCGUUAUCCGGAAUGAUUGGGCGUAAAGCGUCUGUAGGUUGUUUAAAAAGUAUUCUGUCAAAGAUUAGGGCUUAACCCUAGAUAGGCAGAAUAAACUUUUAAGCUAGAGUAUGGUAGAGGCAGAGGGAAUUCCCGGUGGAGCGGUGAAAUGCGUAGAUAUCGGGAGGAACACCAAAGGCGAAGGCACUCUGCUGGGCCAAUACUAACACUGAGAGACGAAAGCGAGGGGAGCAAAUGGGAUUAGAAACCCUUGUAGUCC